rnacentral:rRNA from 1 species
CCUACGGGUGGCAGCAGUGGGGAAUAUGUGACAAUGGGGGGAACCCUGAUCCAGCCAUGCCGCGUGUGUGAAGAAGGCCCUCGGGUUGUAAAGCACUUUCAGUGAGGAAGAACGCCUGGUGGUUAAUACCCAUCAGGAAAGACAUCACUCACAGAAGAAGCACCGGCUAACUCCGUGCCAGCAGCCGCGGUAAUACGGAGGGUGCGAGCGUUAAUCGGAAUUACUGGGCGUAACGCGCGCGUAGGUGGCUUGAUAAGCCGGUUGUGAAAGCCCCGGGCUCAACCUGGGAACGGCAUCCGGAACUGUUAAGCUAGAGUGCCGGAGAGGAAGGUAGAAUUCCCGGUGUAGCGGUGAAAUGCGUAGAGAUCGGGAGGAAUACCAGUGGCGAAGGCGGCCUUCUGGACUGACACUGACACUGAGGUGCGAAAGCGUGGGUAGCAAACAGGAUUAGAUACCCGAGUAGUC